UAGAGCUUGAGUCGGGACGGGGUAGCCGAACUCGGGCUGCGGCAUAAGAGAGAGAGGUCACAAUUGGUCGAUCAAAACAUCCAGUCGCUCUCGCACUUGCACUCAAGGAUUCAGCCUUGGCGUAUCCGUCCCGUGUUGCGUUUCCGAUCCUAACUGUUCUCUACCCAUCAGAACUCGUUUUCGCGAUGGAACGAAGGCUAUAAGUAAUAGCUAAGCGCAAUAAGCAAGGCAAGUAAUUGUUCUGUAAUCCAUGGGGACUGAAAAUCCGGGACGUUCAAGUUUUCCAGCUAGGCCUGCCACAACGCCUUUUGCUCCUCCUCAGACCAUGACACCGUUUUCAUCAACUGGUCCUGUGGUUGGAUCUGAGCCUCCUUUUCCCCGGCCUACUCCUUCUGCUAUUCCCCAACCUUCAGUGCCAUUGUCAUCAGCCGGACCUACAGUCACACCAGGGGCAUCCAAUUUUAGACCUAUCCCUCCUGGCAGGUUUAAUGAUCCAUCUGUGCCUCCGCCUCCAACGUACAGCGUUCCACCUGCUGGUGGUCCUUUCCAGCGUUUUCCUACUCCACAGUUUACCUCAACAGCUCAAGCUCCUGCACCUGUUCAAUCCAUAGGACGACCGUCGAUGCCGCCUUCUGUAAAUCAAGCACCAUCUUUUCCAGCGGCCCUUCAACCACAGACACCAAUUGUCCCGAUGGGUUCUCCCCCACAAAGUGCUACUCCUUCACCUUUAAAGCCUAAUGUUCCUCCUUUGUCAGAUUCAUCAUUUCCAGGGUCUAGGCCUAAUGUUCAGCCAUCUUUUCCUGGAUACAUCCGCAAGCAGACCAGCACUGAAAUGCAAGGUCCGCCUAUGCAUCCAUCUUUUCCCGCUAAUCAAGGUAAUUAUGCACCGGCUCCACCUGCUCUAUCUCAUCAAGGGAGCUAUGUUCCACCACCUCCUGUGGCUGCUCCGUUAGGCAUGCAGCAGAUGCAACAGCAAGGAUAUGGACCUUCUGUUGGUGCCAUUCAGGGCCUGACAGAAGACUUCAGUUCACUUUCUAUUCAAACUCGUCCUGGUUCAAUGGAUCAAGUUGUUGAUGCUAAAGAACUGCCAAGACCACUGGAUGGUGAUGUGGAGCCAACAUCUCUGGCUGACCUUUUCCCCAUGAACUGCAACCCCAGAUAUCUACGGCUAACAACCAGUGCGAUUCCCAGCUCCCAGUCCUUAGCUUCAAGAUGGCAUCUGCCUCUUGGAGCAGUUGUUUGUCCACUUGCAGAAGCUCCUGAUGGGGAAGAGGUGCCUAUAAUCAAUUUUGCCCCAACUAGUGUCAUACGGUGUAGAAGAUGUCGCACUUAUGUGAAUCCAUAUGUGACAUUCACAGAUGCUGGAAGAAAAUUUCGGUGCAAUGUUUGCACUUUGCUGAAUGAUGUGCCUAGUGAAUAUUUUGCUCAAUUAGAUGCCACUGGUAGAAGAGUUGAUUUGGAUCAAAGACCUGAGCUUACAAAGGGUACUGUGGAAUUUGUUGCCCCUGCUGAAUAUAUGGUGCGACCUCCUAUGCCCCCAGUGUAUUUCUUCCUCAUUGAUGUUUCCAUAUCUGCAGUUAGAAGUGGAAUGAUUGAGGUUGUGGCCCAAACAAUCAAGUCGUGUCUAGAUGAGUUGCCUGGCUCUCCACGAACUCAAAUAGGUUUUGCAACAUUUGACAGCACAAUUCAUUUUUAUAAUAUGAAGUCGUCCUUGACUCAACCACAGAUGUUGGUAGUCUCAGAUCUGGAUGACAUAUUUGUUCCACUUCCAGACGAUCUCCUUGUUAAUUUAUCAGAAUCCAGAAGUGUGGUGGAGACCUUCCUUGACAGUUUGCCAUGCAUGUUCCAGAACAAUAUAAAUAUUGAAUCAGCCUUUGGUCCGGCUCUUAAGGCUGCAUUCAUGGUUAUGAGUCAACUUGGAGGGAAAUUGUUAAUUUUCCAAAAUGCACUGCCAUCUCUUGGUGUUGGACGCUUAAAAUUACGUGGAGAUGAUGCUCGUGCUUAUGGGACUGAUAAAGAACACAUGUUAAGGCUGCCAGAAGAUCCAUUUUACAAGCAAAUGGCUGCUGAGUUUUCUAAAUACCAGAUCUGUGCUAACGUGUACGCAUUUAGUGACAAGUACACUGACAUUGCAUCCUUAGGAACUUUGGCAAAGUACACUGCAGGUCAAGUAUAUUACUAUCCGGCUUUCCAAUCAACUAUUCAUGGGGAGAAAUUGAGGCAUGAGUUAAGGAGAGACCUAACCAGAGAAACUGCCUGGGAAGCUGUACUGCGCAUUAGAUGUGGAAAAGGUGUUCGCUUCACAACUUUUCACGGGAACUUCAUGCUAAGAUCUACUGAUUUGUUAGCACUUCCGGCUGUAGAUUGUGAUAAAGCUUUUGCCAUGCAAUUAUCUCUUGAAGAGACGUUGCUGACAACUCAGACUAUGUAUUUCCAAGUUGCAUUGCUAUAUACUGCAUCUUGUGGGGAAAGACGGAUCAGAAUACACACUGCUGCAGCUCCAGUAGUCACUGACUUGGGAGAGAUGUAUCGCCUGGCUGAUACUGGUGCCAUAGUUUCUCUACUUAGUAGACUAGUAAUUGAGAAAACAUUGUCUAAUAAACUGGAAGAUGCAAGGAGUGCUGUACAGCUAAGAAUUGUCAAGGCCCUCAGAGAAUAUCGAAAUCUAUAUGCUGUGCAACAUCGCUUGGCUAACAGGAUGAUAUAUCCUGAGUCUCUAAAAUUCCUACCAUUGUAUGGCUUAGCACUUUGUAAAUCAACACCCCUCCGUGGAGGGCAUGCUGAUGCUCCCCUGGAUGAACGGUGUGCAGCAGGAUACACAAUGAUGGCUCUACCAAUAAAAAGGCUGUUGAAAUUUCUAUAUCCAAGCUUGAUUCGACUUGAUGAAUACUUGUUGAAGGCAUCUGUGCAGUCUGAUGAGUUAAAAAACAUUGAGAAAAGGCUACCAUUGACUGGUGAGAGCAUGGAUUCUAGAGGCCUUUAUGUAUACGAUGAUGGCUUCCGGUUCAUUAUAUGGUUUGGUAGAGUGCUUUUACCUGAUAUGGCUAAGAAGUUGCUUGGGGCAGACUUUGCUGCAGAAUUAUCAAAGGUUACCCUUAAGGAGCAUGAUAAUGAGAUGUCAAGGAAGCUAAUCAGGAUACUUGAGAAACUGAGAAAUACUGAUCAUUCUUAUUAUCAGUUGUGCUAUCUUGUGAGGCAAGGCGAGCAGCCCAGAGAGGGAUUCCUUAUCCUUGCAAAUCUUGUUGAGGACCAAAUGGGUGGUAACAGUGGUUAUGCUGAUUGGAUGCUUCAGCUAUCCCGACAGGUGCAGCAAUAAUAAUUUAAAGGCGAGAGAGGCAGGGAAGGGAUGGUUGUGUGGCAAUUGUUACUAUCAUUAUGCAUCUCUUUGGAUUCCCUUCUCCCUGGAGAGAAAAGGCAUCAUAGGUGGUUGGCGGGUUGUUGUCAUAGAACUUAGUUGUUUUUCUCUUUAGUGAAUAUGGAACCUUUUUUCUAAGGAAAAAUAUAUUACAUAAGAAGGGUUUUUGGCAGCCUGCUGUCUAUGUUAUCAGUCAAGUCACAGCCAUUAUUUCAAUCGAAAGGGAGAAGGUUGAAUCUUGCCUUGAGGUCACAUCGAUUAAUGUGGAUGCUCGACUUGGCUAAACUGGUCGCGAGGAGCGUUUCAGAGGAUUAUAUUUGUUUGGUGACAAUUAUUAUUUAUUCAGAUAUAUAGAAUUUAGACUUCUUUCUUGCCCAGUUUUGGCUUCUAUUCACAUUUGUUGCCCCGCCCUUUUUUUCUCUUGGUGUUUUAAUUAUAAUUUUAGAUUUUUUUUUUGGAACAACAUGCACAUGCUGUUAGAUGCAGUCUGUAAUUCCCGAGCUUUUGUAUAAUUUCAAUUACAAUCUGCCUUGCGAGGCAGAAGAUUUGGAAGGCCUAAUUUGUUGUGGAUCAAGUUGAUUAAAUACUAUUGAAUCAUUGCGGGUUGCCUUCUUCCGCGGCAAAAGAUUAUUGCA